rnacentral:rRNA from 1 species
ACUCAAAUGAAUUGACGGGGACUUGCACAAGCAGUGGAUUAUGUGGCUCAAUUCGAUGGUAAACGAAGAACCUUACCAGGGUUAGAAAUCUACGUGAAAGCUCCGAGAAACCGGAGCCCUCGCAAGACUAGUAGACAGGUGAUGCAUGGCCGUCGUCAGUUCGUGGUUUGAAUUGUACCCUUAAGUGGGCUAACGAACGCAACCCUCGUUGUGUGUUACAAGUGUCACACGAGACCGCCCCCACCAAAGCGCACGAAGCAAAUUUGCUUCGCGAAUUUUGGUGGGGGAGGAAGGAGAGGAUGACGCCAGGUCAGCAUGUCCCUUUGAUACCCUGGGCUGCACACAUAAUACAAUCGCCAUUACAGAGCGUCGCGACGAGGCAACUCUGAGCUAAUCGUUUAAAAAUGGCGUCAGUUCGGAUUGGAGGCUGCAACUCGCCUCCAUGAAGCUGGAAUUGCUAGUAAUCGCAGGUCAGCUAAACUGCGGUGAAUACGUUCUCAAGUCUUGUACACACCGCCCGU